AAGUCGUAACAAGGUUUCCGUAGGUGAACCUGCGGAAGGAUCAUUCGAGAGGGGUUUGAGAUUUUGUGCUUGGGGGGUGAGACAGAGGUGGUGGGGUAAGGAAUUAAAGACACUCAACAACGGAUCUCUUGGCUCUU
rnacentral:misc_RNA from 1 species